rnacentral:rRNA from 1 species
GAUGAACGCUGGCGGCGUGCCUAAUACAUGCAAGUCGAGCGAAUGGAUUAAGAGCUUGCUCUUAUGAAGUUAGCGGCGGACGGGUGAGUAACACGUGGGUUACCUGCCCAUAAGACUGGGAUAACUCCGGGAAACCGGGGCUAAUACCGGAUAACAUUUUGAACCGCAUGGUUCGAAAUUGAAAGGCGGCUUCGUCUGUCACUUAUGGAUGGACACGCGUCGCAUUAGCUAGUUGGUGAGGUAACGGCUCACCAAGGCAACGAUGCGUAGCCGACCUGAGAGGGUGAUCGGCCACACUGGGACUGAGACACGGCCCAGACUCCUACGGGAGGCAGCAGUAGGGAAUCUUCCGCAAUGGACGAAAGUCUGACGGAGCAACGCCGCGUGAGUGAUGAAGGCUUUCGGGUCGUAAAACUCUGUUGUUAGGGAAGAACAAGUGCUAGUUGAAUAAGCUGGCACCUUGACGGUACCUAACCAGAAAGCCACGGCUAACUACGUGCCAGCCGCCGCUGUAA